ensembl:lncRNA
UGAUAGCGCCAUUUAUCGAGAGCUGGCCACCUCGCUGAACUCGUUGCGUGCCUGUCUCUCCUGGUUCUGACAGCGACCUCAGGAGGAAAGCUCUACGCGAGUCAGGAGGCUGAGGGGCAGCGAGGCUGGGGGAAUUUGGCUCCAUUUCUGCAGCUGGCCCUGGGCUGAGUCCCCCACGGAUAGCGUCCGUCCUGCAGUAAAGAGGGGACACGGCCACAGAGGGGCUGGCCUCCGAUCUGCACCUGCUCCCUGUUCCGGAACGUGGGGCCGCCUCUUGGACUGCCGUGAGCAUUUCAGGAGAGAAUGCACGUAGAGGCAAAGACCCGGAGCCUGGCACAGAAGGCGCGUGUGAGAAUCAUUGUUUCUGCGAUGAUUAUGAACAUAGUUACUGCUGUCCUGGAGUUCCCGGGAGCUGCCCGUGCAGAUGCGUAGAGAGCCCUUGCUGCAUUAGCAUCCCCUGGGAGCUUGUCAGAAGCGUUAAUUCCUGGCCCCUCCUCAGACCAAGUGAAUCAGGAGUUGCAUUUUAACAAGAUCCCCUAGUGACCUGCGUGCACGUUCAAGUUUGAGAGGCCCGGCUAAGCGCCCGGGAGAAAGGAAUUUUCAACCCGGUGCUGGAAUCCACCAUUUGCUCUCCGGCGCCACCUUGAGGCCUGUUGAAGAAUUGACCUGGGCAAGCCGACGACGGCACGGCGCGAAAUUUCCAGCCCCGCGUCUCUGCAGACCAGUUCUCAGGCUCACUUUGGGCAGGUUACUUGACUCCUCUGAGCCGUGGAUGCCUCAGACUCCUUACCUGUAACACCGACAUUGCAACUCACGCACAGUGCCUGCCCCAGAGUUGGUGCUGACAAAACGUUCUACCACGUUCAGGAUGAGUCCUUGCUUCCCAGAUGGAACCUGGACAUAAUGUAGGGAGCAGGCUACCGAAUCCAUGGUGUUAAUGGCUUAAGUUGCAUCCCCCCCCCCCCCACCAAAAGAUGUUGAGGGCUUAAUGCCCAGAACCUGAGAAUAUGACCUUUUUUGGAAAUAGGGUCAUUGCAGAUAUAAUUCAUUAAGCUGAGUAGAGUGGACCCUUAAUCCAACUCGCCUGGUGUCUCUAUAAGAAGAGGGAAGACCCUGUGAAGACAGACACACAGGGGGAGAAGGCCAUGUGAUGACGGAAGCAGAGACUGGAGUGAUGCAGCAGCAAGCCGAGGAGUGAUGGCCACCGCCGGAAGAUGGAAGAGGCAAGGAAAUAUUGUCCCCAGUCUCAGAGGGAGCACGGCCCUGCUGACACCUCCAUUUCAGAUUUCAGGCCUCCAGAACUGCGAGACAAUAAAAGUAUGAUGUUUUAAGUCACCCAGUUUGUGAUACUUUGUUACAGCAGCCUUCGCAAAUGCACACACAUGGGAAGGCUCAUCUUCUAUGUAAGUUAGAUGUGGGCACUAGAAUAUCUCAGGGUCCCUUUCCUCUAGAGGAAGAAAUUAAACAUGUCUCCUUUACAGCAGAGGAUAUACUAAUGGCCGAUAAGUGCAUGAAAAGAU